AAAUAUGGGGCAUCCCCCACUGGAGUUCAGCGACUGCUACCUGGACAGCCCCGAUUUCCGCGAGAGGCUCAAGUGUUACGAGCAGGAGCUUGAGAGGACCAAUAAAUUCAUCAAAGACGUCAUCAAAGACGGCAACGCGCUUAUCAGUGCUAUGAGAACUGAAUCCUUCAAAGAGUUUGCUGAGUUGCUCAAUGAAGUAGAAAACGAGAGAAUGAUGAUGGUCCAAAAUGCUAGUGAUUUGCUGAUCAAACCCUUGGAAAAUUUUCGGAAGGAGCAAAUAGGUUUCACAAAGGUACAUUUUCAUAUACAUAUAUAUAAAUAAAUUUUUAAUAGCAGUGUAUAGUGGUUUUGGGUAGUGUUCUUCACCCUAUAGGUUUAUGAUGGUUAAUUUUAUGUUUCAACUUAUGAGGCCACAAAAUGCCCAGAUAGCUGCUUAAAUAUUACUUCAGGUUGUGUAUGUGAGGGUGUUUUCAGAAGA
rnacentral:lncRNA from 1 species